AAUUGCUCUUAUUCUAUUCACUUACACAAUAUGUACAACAGAUUGCAGAGAAAAACAAAUAGGAUGCCAAAUUAACACACGACCUCACCAGUGCACAAGAUAUCUGUUGCUGGAUCAUGUUUGUUCAUCUGAUUUAACAGCUGAUAACCCUAUGCGCAUGUGAGGUUGUAAGCACAUAAUUAUUUCUAAAAUAAAUAUUCAAUAUAAAUGCUAAUGAACAACCACGAACAGCAGCAGCAACAGCUUCAGUUUAGGUCAGCUUGCAGC
rnacentral:misc_RNA from 1 species